CGGACUGCAGGCUGCAACUCGCCUGCACGAAGUUGGAAUUGCUAGUAAUCGUGGAUCAGCAUGCCACGGUGAAUACGUUCCCGGGUCUUGUACACACCGCCCGUCACACCAUGGGAGCCGGUAAUACCCGAAGUCAGUAGUCUAACCGCAAGGAGGACGCUGCCGAAGGUAGGAUUGGCGACUGGGGUGAAGUCGUAACAAGGUAGC
rnacentral:rRNA from 1 species